rnacentral:tRNA from 2 species
GGAGAGGUGGCUGAGUGGUUGAAAGCGGCAGAUUGCUAAUCUGUUUUACGGUUUUAAUCGUAACGAGGGUUCGAAUCCCUCCCUCUCCG